ensembl:lncRNA
GCUUUCCCACACAUAUAAAGGGUUAGUAAAUUGUAUUUCAACCAAGGUCAUUUCAGAAUAUCCAGAUUUUUACAGUAUUUGUGUGAAAUCCACCUAGCAGUACUGAGUCUUUCAUUUGGUAGCAUGCCCAAAUGAAUUGGUCACACCCAAAAAUGAUUUACUAGAGAAAAACAUAUUUGGAAUAUUUCUUUAUUCAUACAUAAAAUCUAAUCAAAUUACUGAAUUCAUGUUUGUUUAGACAGCUGUCUUUACGUUGAUGAUUAGGCUAAUAGCAUUAGGUCGUACAGUAGGUUUUUGAAAAUGAAUCAUGGCUAGACCUAAUCGUGCAAUUGUAGAGAACAUUAGUAUUGGGUUGAUUUAAUCAUUUUACAUUAUAGUAAAUGCCUUCUGUUUUGGUAUAACUAGAUUUUGUACUGGCCAAAAUGUACUAGUCAUGAUUCUACACACAAGCCACACGUUCAGAAUAGAAGGCUAUUCCUGAUGUUUUAGACUUGUAAAUGUGUGGUUUAAACAUAGUAUAUUUACAACUACUAUAUACAGAUUUCACAACAUAUUUAAAACCAGGCCUUGUAGCAGUUUCAACACGAUUAGAUUGUGACGUGUUUUGGUUGACGUCAGGGGUGUUUUGGGUAAUGAGCACAUUGUUCUCCAACUGAACAUCAGUAAUAAGGCCAUUAAAAGGUUUCUCUUAACACAAAUUUAUGUCAGUGUGUAGGGGAGAAGGCUACUUAAUCCAUGGUAUACAUUCUAUAUUGUCCACUAUCAUGUCAAUAAAGCAAACACAUAUUGCAUCUUUAACAUUCUUGAGAUUGAGCCUGAUUUCAACUAUGUAAAUGGCGUCUCGUCUUUGGCGAUCUUACAGGCCAUGGUAAAUUUAGUUAUAUCUUGUGUUUCUCAUUCAUUCGUCUUGCUAUAUCAUUCUGCAUCUUUUGCCACUUGAUUAAGGACAUUUGCAUUGCACAGGCCAGUAGUUUCCCAUGGGACUAGUUUCAUGCCCAAAUGGGAUGCUGUUGUCACAGUUAUUUGUUGAGAGGAGGGUGACUGAGGGGCACAGAGUGGCUCAGAUCAAACUUGAAAAACAGAAUCGAGAGUUGAAUAUCAGAAAAAGAACAUUGCUGUUUAACCAAAUCAUUACCUAGAGAAUAAAAACGGUUUUGUAGGUGGCACUAAGGCAACCAAUUAAAAAUGGAACUUGAAAACCCCAGAAAAGGGACUCAGGAGCCCAGGGGUCUAACGUUAUGCACACAAGAGGUGACAACAGACAGGUAUCAUGGCAUUGUAAACCAUAAGCUUUUGAAAGGAUAUGACAGAAAGAGAAGGAUACAAAUGGUACUGAGUGGACUGCCAGGCCACAAUAUCACCAUGUAACUUCAACUUCACAUCAACAUCUUAA